AGUGAACGCUGGCGGUAGGCCUAACACAUGCAAGUCGAACGGCAGCACAGUAAGAGCUUGCUCUUACGGGUGGCGAGUGGCGGACGGGUGAGGAAUACAUCGGAAUCUACUUUUUCGUGGGGGAUAACGUAGGGAAACUUACGCUAAUACCGCAUACUACCUACGGGUGAACGCAGGGGAUCUUCUGACCUUGCGCGAUUGAAUGAGCCGAUGUCGGAUUAGCUAGUUGGCGGGGUAAAGGCCCACCAAGGCGACGAUCCGUAGCUGGUCUGAGAGGAUGAACAGCCACAAGGGAACUGAGACAAGGGCCAAACUCCUACGGGAGGCAGCAGUGGGGAAUAUUGGACAAUGGGCGCAAGCCUGAUCCAGCCAUACCGCGUGGGGGAAGAAGGCCUUCGGGUUGUAAAGCCCUUUUGUUGGGAAAGAAAAGCAGCAGGUUAAUACCCCGCUGUUAUGACGGUACCCAAAGAAUAAGCACCGGCUAACUUCGUG
rnacentral:rRNA from 1 species